CUGGUCUCAAAGGUCACAUGUGACCCUGAUUGUAUGACAUCACUCAAAUUCGUUGAGAGUAGAUUUUUUCUACAUUUUUUCAUGGAGGCUACUUUUCAUAGUCAAGGCACCAGAUAAUUUCAUCUCGGUGCUUAUGUAUUUCGUUAGAAAUUUUAUCUCUGCUAAUAAUGUGAGUAGCAUAUUUUUUCACUCCAGAACGAUUCUUUCCCUAUCUUAAUAAUAACAUAACAAUUGACAAAAUUGGAAUUUUUUCCGGACUUUAGCCUUUAUCACACGGUAAGUGAGCUUUUGCGUUGCGGGUAAGCAAUGAGGAAGAAGAUCAAUAAAUGCUGGAGGUGUGUAGGUAGGUGGGUGGGGUGGCUGUUCAGCCACGAGACAGUGUAGGUGUCUGAGUGGGCAGUCAAAGUUGGCCUUGCUCAGAACCACUUAAUCACAUCGGGUUACCAUAAAUGAGCACAGAUACGUGGGUUUUGCAAAAUACUGCUUUCUGAUGUCACAGCUUGCAAUUUAUCGAAAGGUAUAUACACAUUGUGCCUGUCUGCUGCAUAACGUGUUUCUGUAUGGUUUCCAAUAAUCUAAGUGCAAACAAGCUGCUUCCAUGAAAAUCGUGAUGAAAAUAAAGAAAAAUCUGGUGGAACUAUAAUGAGCCUGAAUUAUUCAGAUGUCGGAUGUUACUUGGCAGAAAACGAAUUAUACAAACAGGUUUAGGCAAAAAAUUUGCAUUAAGUAACUCUUUUUUGCUAUUGUGACAAAGUAGAGAGAGGGCACUGAAAUCAGAUAAACGAUAAGCUUGAUCAGAUCGUACAGUUAACGUUCGAAUAGAUCAAGUAAUCUACUUUAUUCUUCUACAUUCUUAAAUUUUAUUGUGUCAUGUGUAGUAUAUAUUUUUCAAUGUGGUAUUUAAUAAUUUGUGAACGAUAGAAAUAAAAGUGUGAUAUCAAAA